UCCCCGAUGGUCUAACGGUUAUGAUUUCCGCUUGUCACUGCAUCACUGCAACCUGAGAAGCGCGGGAGACCAGGGUUCGACUCCCUGUCGAGGAG